GGCUGGUACGAGUGCGUGGUGUUUACAACUAAUUGAUCACAACCAGUUACAGAUUUCUUUGUUCCUUCUCCACUUCCACUGCUUCACUUGACUAGUCAAAA
ensembl:Y_RNA Y_RNA Y RNA